rnacentral:misc_RNA from 1 species
CUUGAUAUCCACUGUGGAAUUCGCCCUUUGGCUACGCGAGCGCAUGAGCUAUUUCGGACCCGUGUCUGCUGGUAGGCCCCCCGUCUUCGUGUGGCCGACUACCAGCACCAUGUCUUGUCAUUCGUGUGACCUACGGGUAGUGGUGCUUGAUACAAAGUUGUCUCGUGGUGGACACCUUUGUGUGUGCUGCUGUAGCCAUAUGGCACUUGCGGCGUUGCCUUGUGGUGGUGGCAUGUUUUUGUGCCUGGUGCUAUCAAGGAAGCCUCGCUCCCGCCGUUGGUUUCAGAUGUUGCUCAUGAUAAAGGCUCGUGGCCCUUUUGGUUGCCUCGACCUGACCUUAAAAAUUCUCUCCGAAAUUGAGAACAACCGGAACAUGUGUUGCCUCUACCUUUGCAUGGUUAGUGGUAGGACACACAGCAUACUAUGCCGAUCCUCAUACAAGUAGGACGAUCUAGGUCCGCUCAAUUGUGACAACCGGACCGGCUGUUGCCUCUGCCAUGCCACCCAAGUGGAAGGGUAGACAACUACCGACGCUGGAGGUCAAAGAAGACGUGCUACCUGGUUGAGCCUGCCAGUAGUCAUAUGCUUGUCUAAGGGCGAAUUCCACAUU